CUGAUACGUGCUCUUAGCUGACAAUCUCCUGAUGAUGCUAAUGACAGUCUUCAGACACGAGAAUGGAGCAAUUUUAAAGCAAUGGGCGAGUAAGAAAGUCUGGAAGAUUGCUGAGAAAAACUAAGUUGGAGUCUCUUCGCUUCUUUGCUUGUGGAGAUUACAUAUUUGAACAGCAUUGUAUCAGGAGAACCCCAAUGAGCAACACUGGCCUCUUUCACCUUUCACUAUUGGAUUAACUGUUGGAUAAACUUUGUUAACACUAGGCACUAUAGUAUCAAACAUAAAAUUUUUACUGUAUGGAGAUUUUAUUUUUGUGUAUUGUAAUCCUGUUGAGAAUACAGCCUGACUUCCUAUUCAGAACACUUUGGAAAAGCUUUUCCUAUUAUAAGACCUUCAACCAAUAGAAAAGAACAGAAAGGAAUCAAAAAAUACUGAUCAGCAGAUGACAUCUUUUUUGAGAACGUGGAAUUGCAAUUAAAACUGCUUAAACUGAAGCUGGAUUAGAACUUGCAAAGAAUAUAACUUUAUAACCUUGGCUGUCACAGAAUUGGAAAAUGAAUGAGAUUCAGGUGAGUAAUAUACAAGUUUAUGCACUUUGAGAUUGCUGGCAAUAAUUUCUCCUAUCAGGUGGUGAUUCAUCAAUUGGAAGCAAUAAAGAAAUUAAGUAAUGGAGUACA
rnacentral:lncRNA from 1 species